UUGUUGCAGUUAAAAAGCUCGUAGUUGGACUUUAGGCAAGGCGGCCUGGUCACCCUCUGGGUGUACUGGGAUCGCUGCGCCUCACCUUCGGGGAGCUAGUCGUGCUUCGGUGCGCUAGGGAACCGAGCCUUACCUUGAGGAAAUUAGAGUGUUUAAAGCAGGCUUAUGCUUGAAUACGUUAGCAUGGAAUAACAUGAUAGGACUUUGGUUCUAUUUUGUUGGUUUGAGGACCAAAGUAAUGAUUAAUAGGGACAGUUGGGGGCAUUAGUAUUCAAUAGUCAGAGGUGAAAUUCUUGGAUUUAUUGAAGACUAACUAAUGCGAAAGCAUUUGCCAAGGAUGUUUUCAUUAAUCAAGAACGAAAGUUAGGGGAUCGAAGACGAUUAGAUACCGUCGUAGUCUUAACCAUAAACUAUGCCGACUAGGGAUCGGUGGAAGUCGAUUUUGACUCCAUCGGCACCUUACGAGAAAUCAAAGUUUUUGGGUUCUGGGGGGAGUAUGGUCGCAAGGCUGAAACUUAAAGGAAUUGACGGAAGGGCACCACCAGGAGUGGAGCCUGCGGCUUAAUUUGACUCAACACGGGAAAACUCACCAGGUCCGGACAUGGGAAGGAUUGACAGAUUGAGAGCU
rnacentral:rRNA from 1 species